rnacentral:rRNA from 1 species
CCUACGGGAGGCAGCAGUGGGGAAUAUUGGACAAUGGGCGAAAGCCUGAUCCAGCCAUGCCGCGUGUGUGAAGAAGGUCUUCGGAUUGUAAAGCACUUUAAGUUGGGAGGAAGGGUUGUAGAUUAAUACUCUGCAAUUUUGACGUUACCGACAGAAUAAGCACCGGCUAACUCUGUGCCAGCAGCCGCGGUAAUACAGAGGGUGCAAGCGUUAAUCGGAAUUACUGGGCGUAAAGCGCGCGUAGGUGGUUUGUUAAGUUGGAUGUGAAAUCCCCGGGCUCAACCUGGGAACUGCAUUCAAAACUGACUGACUAGAGUAUGGUAGAGGGUGGUGGAAUUUCCUGUGUAGCGGUGAAAUGCGUAGAUAUAGGAAGGAACACCAGUGGCGAAGGCGACCGCCUGGACUAAUACUGACACUGAGGUGCGAAAGCGUGGGGAGCAAACAGGAUUAGAUACCCUGGUAGUCCACGCCGUAAACGAUGUCAACUAGCCGUUGGAAGCCUUGAGCUUUUAGUGGCGCAGCUAACGCAUUAAGUUGACCGCCUGGGGAGUACGGCCGCAAGGUUAAAACUUAAAGGAAAUUGACGG